AAAAAGACAAACCCUGAGUUUCCGUGUUCAAUGUUUGACCGUCCGUCUUAUUUGAAAAAAUUAUGAAAAAAAUUAAAAAGACAAGUCACGCAUAAAGUAUUAAUCAUGUUUUAUCAUCUAACAAUAAUGAAAAUACUAAUUAUAAAAAAAAUUCAUAUAAGACGGACAGUCAAACGUUGGACACGAAAACCCAGGGUUUGCCUUUUU
rnacentral:pre_miRNA from 1 species